AGGAAGCUCCGGGGUCGGUGAAAGUCCGAGCCGGCGGUGAAAGUCCGCGACCCGCCUGCUAUCAGGUGGCUGAAUCGGUGUAAUUCCGAUACCGACGGUGAAAGUCCGGAUGGGAGGAGCGCGUC
rnacentral:ncRNA from 2 species